CCUACGGGAGGCAGCAGUGGGGAAUUUUGGACAAUGGGCGCAAGCCUGAUCCAGCAAUGCCGCGUGCAGGAUGAAGGCCUUCGGGUUGUAAACUGCUUUUGUACGGAACGAAAAAGUCUGCCCUAAUACGGUGGGCCCAUGACGGUACCGUAAGAAUAAGCACCGGCUAACUACGUGCCAGCAGCCGCGGUAAUACGUAGGGUGCGAGCGUUAAUCGGAAUUACUGGGCGUAAAGCGUGCGCAGGCGGUUAUAUAAGACAGAUGUGAAAUCCCCGGGCUCAACCUGGGACCUGCAUUUGUGACUGUAUAGCUAGAGUACGGUAGAGGGGGAUGGAAUUCCGCGUGUAGCAGUGAAAUGCGUAGAUAUGCGGAGGAACACCGAUGGCGAAGGCAAUCCCCUGGACCUGUACUGACGCUCAUGCACGAAAGCGUGGGGAGCAAACAGGAUUAGAUACCCUGGUAGUCCACGCCCUAAACGAUGUCAACUGGUUGUUGGUCUUCACUGACUCAGUAACGAGCUAACGCGUAGAAGUUCGACCGCCGUGGGGAGUAACCGGCCGACGUUAAGGUUAGAAACGUUACGAAAAGGGUAAGUUGGACGGCGUGAGACGNGCGACGGACGACGACGAGGGAGGAGG
rnacentral:rRNA from 1 species